UGAUCCACCGCCUCAGCCUCCCAAAAUGCUGGGAUUACAGGUGUAAGCCACUGCACCCAGCCAAUUUUUUUGUAUAAUUGUUGUAUGCCACAGAAGUAACCUUGACUGCUGUAAGACUUAUUGUCCUCUACAGACAAUUGUUGUCUUGUUUUGAUCCUCUUUAAAGGGUGGAUAUAAUCAGCUAUAGGACUCUGGUGAGUACUCUUAAAUGCAGGUCUUUGAUACUUUUGGAAACUGUGCCAUUAAAAUAGAAAAGAACUUCAAAGACUCUUGGAAAAGCAAUGUAUACAUAAAUGUUGAGUGAAGCAGGAAUUGCACAGACUGAAAUAAGAAAAGAUGAAAAUAAUCUUUUUAUAACUUUUUGCCUAAAAUAUUGCUGAUCCUUUCUGUCUUUUCAGAUUCAAGAAAACUUUUCUCUUGAGCUAUUUACAGUUUUUAACAAUUAAGUAAAAUAUAUUCCUAUAAACAAAAUUUGGAACAUAUUCUUUUUCUCUACCUCAUUUCUCCCAAAUUUGGAAACUGUAAAUAUUCUUAACUUAUGGCAGUAUAAUUAUUUGCACAAGUGCAGUCAGAAUCUGUUCUCUUUUGUAACAGGAAACCACUAGAGACAAUGGUUAUUUUACUAAGGCUUUGACUGGAAUGGCAUGCAUUCAGGUACAAAAAGACUACUUAUAAGGAAUCAAAGUUGACUUACAGACUCAGAAAAAGCCCCCUGGGAAAACUGGCCUCAUGCCUUGUCUAUGCAAUCCUUGCACAGGGAUCCUGACCUGUGGUACUUUUCUAGGACCCAGGAUUCAACAGUGAGACAUGUAGUCCCUGUAUACAAGACACUUACACUACAUUCACCAGGCAAUCUUCAGAGGGCAUGGAAAUUAUUACUGAAAUAUCAGGCAUUCAGCCUAGUCCUGUGGUUUGCCUCACAGAAUGCCAGUCACUGGGUCAACAACUAUUGCCAGGAAGGAAGGUGUGAAUCAGGUGCUGCAGUGGGUGUGCACUGAAGGACAACAAGAGAUAAAGUCUCAAAUCCGUCUCUCUGAGCGACCAAAAUUGGGGAGUUUAUAUAGCAGGGAAGGUGGGAAAACAGGAAUUAGGAAGAGGGAGGGAAGUAGUCAUGAUGGAUGAGGAGUCUGUUAUCUCAGUCUCUGGGUGUGAGAAUCUGAUGAGUUUCAGUUUCUUGCCUAAGGGUAGGUUUCCUGAGGAAGGAACUCAGAGGAGACAAAUGUAAGUUUAAAGUUUUAAGAAGGCCAAUUUCUAUGUUUAUCAAAAAAAAACUAUAAAUAUUAGUCCUAUGGGACAACUGA